CCUACGGGAGGCAGCAGUGGGGAAUAUUGGACAAUGGGGGGAACCCUGAUCCAGCCACGCCGCGUGGAUGAAGAAUCGCCUCGGCGCGGAAAGCCCUGUCAGCAGGGAAGAAAAUGACUGUACCUGAAGAACAAGCCCCGGCUAACUACGUGCCAGCAGGCGCGAUAAUACGUAGGGUGCCAGCGUUAUCCGGAUGUACUGGGUGUAAAGGGGGCGCAGAGGGCGAUGCAAGCCAGUAGUGAAAGCCCGGGGCCCAACCCCGGGACUGCUCUUGGUACUGCUUGGCUGGAGUGCAGGAGGGGUAGGCGGAAUUCGUGGUGUAGCGGUGAAAUGCGUAGAUAUCACGAGGAACACCGGUGGCGAAGGCAGCCUGCUGGACUGCAACUGACGCUGAGGCCCGAAAGUGUGGGGAGCAAACAGGAUUAGAUACCCUAGUAGUC
rnacentral:rRNA from 1 species